rnacentral:rRNA from 1 species
CGGCCGAGCAAGUCCAUCGGGAAAUCCGCACGCUCAACGUGCGGGCGUCCGGUGGAAACUGCCCGGCUUGGGACCGGAAGACUCGACGGGUACGUUCGGGGUAGGAGUGAAAUCCCGUAAUCCUGAACGGACCACCGAUGGCGAAAGCACGUCGAGAGGACGGAUCCGACGGUGAGGGACGAAAGCUAGGGUCUCGAACCGGAUUAGAUACCCGGGUAGUCCUAGCCGUAAACGAUGUCUGUUAGGUGCGACGCUGACUACGAGUCAGUGUUGUGCCGUAGGGAAGCCGCUAAACAGACCGCUUGGGAA